CCUACGGGAGGCAGCAGUGGGGAAUAUUGGGCAAUGGGCGAAAGCCUGACCCAGCGACGCCGCGUGGGUGAUGAAGGCCUUCGGGUUGUAAAGCCCUUUCGUGCGGAAAGAACAGUCCCGUAGCGAAUACCUACGGGAUUUGACGGUACCGCAGGAAGAAGCACCGGCUAACUCCGUGCCAGCAGCCGCGGUAAU
rnacentral:rRNA from 1 species